UAUUGAUGCUAACAUUUCUAGAAAUUGUGAUGCAAGAGAGAACUGGAACGAGAAAUUCUUCCUCCUUUUCUUUUGGCCGUAUGUGCUCCUGAGUUGUUUGCUCGUUCCUUCAUAGUUAGCAUAAGACGUACGGAGAGAAUUGGGGGCAGCCUGCUGUAUUCGUUCAGUUUUGUUUCCAAAUAUGCAGUGCUCGAGUACGAGACGCUGAAUUAUGUGGUUCUUCACUAGAAUUCGGUUGGUGCCCUUAUGUUUCAGGACUGGAAAUGUUCCGAGAAGGAUGUUGAUGAUCUUCUAUUGAUUGAUCUGAUUUUAACUUGAAUCUAUCAAGAAGGCUUUUCAGAAGAAAAAAGAUAGAAAUAUGCAAUUGCCAAAGUCUCCUAGACGCAACUAAUAAUAAAUAUACCGCUUCUUUGGUCCAAUUGUUGAUUUGAUGCGGACUUUACGUGUUUUUCUUCAUUUGAGUCCGCAGUCGCAGGCUCCCGCCCCGCAGGCCCCGCGCCCGCCGUCCCGCAGCCGCAGGCUCCCGCGCCCGCCGCCCCGCCGCCGCAGGCCCCGCGCGCCGCCGCCCGCAGCCCCGUCCGCCACACCUAAAAUUUUUGGCGUCCUCCGCCACUGGUCAGACUAGUGCCUGCUGCUUGAAAACAUGGAAUUGGAAGACGAACCAUCCGCCAGUCCAGGACCACUUCCAUCCUCUCCCUUUUGGCGAAACUACACACUCCCUGUUUCCCUAAGAAAAAUGGCUAAAUGUAACUACAAAAAUUACUCCCGGCCCGGCCCGCCCUUCUGAUGUAUUAGUAGAUUAUGACUGUGCAGCAGUAGCGAUGUCAGUUUAAUCCUGCCGUCGUACGUAGAUCGAUGUGGCGACCAAGGACCGGCAUGCGGUUAAACUAUUGCUGGCGUUAAUCUGCAACCAGCUAGCUAGCUUUUGCCGCAGUGCAAGUCGAGACGCACAAGAGCCCCAACUAGCUGCACAACCAUGCAACGCUGGCUGGGGAACGGGGAUGACCCUGACGCUGAGGUACGGCCGGCCCCCCGUCACAGCUAGCCAGGGGCUUGGCAGCCGGCCGGUUCGAACGACAAAUCAGUAUCAUUUUUCUUUUGCAUG